UCCACGCUCGAUCGUACUCAUAACCACAUCAGGUCUCCAAGGGAAACAACCUCUAGUCGAUGGAACAAUGUAGGCAAGGAAAGUUGGCAAAAUGGAUCCGUAACUUCUGGAAAAGGAUUGGCACUGAGAGCUGGGCAUGGGGGUCCCAGUCCCGAACCCAUCAGCUGUCGGUGGACUACUCGAGCUGAUCCCGCAGUAAGAGCGGGUCACCACAUGCCGAUCGAGGGACAAACUGGGAAUAGUUCCUUCGGGGGCCUUCCCUGGACGUCGAACAGCCAACUUAGACCUUGUACGGACAAGGGGAAUCCGACUGUUUAAAUAAAACAAAACAUUGUGAUGGUCCCAAUAGAUAUUCACACAUUGUGAUUUCUACUCAGUGCUUUGGAUGUCAAAUUGAAGAAAUUCAACCAAGUGUGGGUAAAUGGUGGGAGUAACUAUGACUCUCUUAAGGUAGCCAAAUGCCUCGUCAUCUAAUUAGUGACAUGCAUGAAUGGAUUAACGUGAUUCCUACUAUCCCUGUCUACUAUCCAGCGAAACCACAGCCCAGGGAACGGGCUUGGAAAAAUCAAUGGGGAAAGAAGACCCUCUUGAGCUUAACUCUACUCCGACUUUGUGAAAUGACUUGAGAGGUGUUGUAUAAGUGGGAGCCGAAAGCCAAAAGUGAAAUUCCACUAAUUUUAACAUUAUUUUACUUAUUCCGUGUAUCUGAAGCAGGGCACUGUCCCUCUUUUUAGACCCAAGGCUCGCUCUUCGGGUCGAUCCAGGUGGAAGACAUUGUCAGGUGGGGAGUUUGGUUGGGGCGGCAUAUCUUUUAAAAGAUAACGCAGGUGUCCUAAGAUGAUCUCAAAGAUAAUAGAAAUAUCGUGUGGAAUAGAAAGGUAAGAGCUCGUUUGAUUCUAAUUUCUAGUACGAAUACGAACCAUGAAAGUGUCGCCUAACAAUCCUUUAGACCUUCGAAAUUUAAAGCUAUAGGUGUCAAAAAAGUGUUACCACAGGGAUAACUGGCCUGUUUCAGCCAAGCGUUCAUAGCGACGUUGCUUGUUCAUCCUUUGAUGUCGGCUCGUCCUAUCAUUAUGAAGCAGAAUUCACCAAGUGUUGGAAUGUUCACCAACCAAUAGAGAACAUGAGCUGGGUUUAGACCGUCGUGAGACAGGUUAGUUUUACCCUACUUGUGACAGUGUCGCAGUAGUAAUUCAACCUAGUACGAGAAGAAACGUUGAUUCACAUAAUUUGUAAUCGCACUAGGUUGAAAAUCCAGUGGUGCAAAGCUACCAUGUGCUAGAUUAUGACUGAACGCCUCUAAGUCAGAAUCCGGGCUAGAAGCGACGUAUAUGCCGGAUGUCUGCUUGCCGACCCGCAGUAGAGGCCUUGGCCACCAAGGGCACAUGUCAUUUGCUAAGCCACCAUGGCGGAAAAAUCACGGUGGCUGCCUUGAAGUAUAAUUUCCAUCGAGCGGCGGGUAGAAUUCUUUACAGAAGACUGAAAUAUGCUACAAGGUAUUGUAAGUAGAAGAGUGGCCUUGAUGCCACGAUCCACUGACAUUCAUCUCUUUAUCGCUCUGGUUCGUCCCUCACAUCCAA
rnacentral:rRNA from 1 species